AGUUGUUGCAGUUAAAAAGCUCGUAGUUGAAUUUCGGGGUUAGUAGGUUGGUCAUGCCUCUGGUAUGUACUGGUCUCACUGAUUCCUCCUUCCUGAUGAACCGUAAUGCCAUUAAUUUGGUGUUGCGGGGAAUUUGGACUGUUACUUUGAAAAAAUUAGAGUGUUUAAAGCAAGCUAACGCUUGAAUACAUUAGCAUGGAAUAAUGAAAUAGGACGUUCGAUCCUAUUUUGUUGGUUUCUAGGAUUGACGUAAUGAUUAAUAGGGAUAGUUGGGGGCAUUAGUAUUCAAUUGUCAGAGGUGAAAUUCUUGGAUUUAUUGACGACUAACUACUUCGAAAGCAUUUGCCACGAUGUUUUCAUUAAUCAUGAACGAAAGUUAGGCGAUCAUAGACGAUCAGAUACCGUCGUAGUCUUAACCAUAAACUAUGCCGACUAGGGAUCGGAUGAUGUUAAUUUUUUAAUGACUCAUUCGGCGCCUACCCGGGGAAACA
rnacentral:rRNA from 1 species